GUGAGGAAUAUUGGUCAAUGGACGAGAGUCUGAACCAGCCAAGUCGCGUGAAGGAAGACGGUUCUAUGAAUUGUAAACUUCUUUUGUGCAGGAAUAAAGUGGGUUACGUGUAACCUUUUGUAUGUACUGUACGAAUAAGGAUCGGCUAACUCCGUGCCAGCAGCCGCGGUAAUACGGAGGAUCCGAGCGUUAUCCGGAUUUAUUGGGUUUAAAGGGUGCGUAGGUGGAUUGAUAAGUCAGCGGUGAAAGUUUGCAGCUUAACUGUAAAAUUGCCGUUGAAACGGUCGGUCUUGAGUGCAAAUGAGGUAGGCGGAAUGUGUUGUGUAGCGGUGAAAUGCUUAGAUAUAACACAGAACUCCGAUUGCGAAGGCAGCUUACUGGGAUGCAACUGACACUGAUGCACGAAAGCGUGGGUAUCAAACAGGAUUAGAUACCCCUGUAGUCC
rnacentral:rRNA from 1 species